rnacentral:lncRNA from 1 species
ACCCACUUGGCAAUGUGUGUUUCUUUGUUUUAAUCUUAACCACUGAAUUUAAUUAAUCAAUGGCUCUUAUUUACUAUCCUCAACUUAUUCUCUCAUCCAAUCAAAUAAUCAGAAAAUAAAAAAUAAAAAAAUAAGAAAAAGUUAUCAUAAUAAACUUGAUCCCUUGAUUAAUCGGAUUCAAUGGCUAAGAUUGAAACAAAUGAGACACACACUGUCAAUUACCUGCUUGAGAAUGUGUGUUUCUUUGUUUUAACUGUGACCAUUGAGUUUAACUAAUCAAGGGCUCUUGUUUACUAUCCUCGAUUUAUUCUCUCAUCCUCUCAAAUAAUCAAAAAAUAAAAAAUAAAAUAAAAAAUUAAAAAGUUAAGGAUAGUAAACUUGAGCCCUUGAUUAAUCGGAUUCGAUGGCCAAGAUUAAAACAAAGAGACACACAUUGCCAAUCACCCGCUUGGCAAUGAGUGUUUCUUUGUUUUAAUCCUGACCAUUGAAUUU